CAGAACAGUUCGGGCCUUCGGGGGUCUCGGGAGAAUCAGGGGCGCCCGGCGAGAGAGACGCAGCGGCUCACCGCUGCCGGCCACCGCAGCUAGCCCCCACCGGCGUUCUUCCAGCUCCGCACGCCUGCGCCUAAGCUCCACGUUGCUCCGCCGCAGCCCGCCCCAACGUCUCCCCCGGCCCCUGCCCGUAGGGCUAGGUCACGGAUCCCCGUCCGGUCUCGCCGACUCGCCGUGACACCGUCUGUCCGUCUCCUCGACUCCUACGAAUCACCGCCGAUUCUGCAAACUUCAGCGGGCAGCAGUCCAUCCCCUGCUCCUAAUCGGAAUUGUCGGGCUCACUGCCGGGGGCUGAUCUUUUGUGAGGAUGGCGCUUUUAUUGUCUCCUUCCGCUCUUCCGGUCAUUGAGCUCACCUCUUUGGUUCACAGCGACUCGGGUUGAUAGCACGAAGGUUGCUUCCCUUCCCCUUCCCGACUGCAGGCUGUGGCGGCGCUCCCCUGUCGAUGGAUAGUUGAUCUAUAGUUGAUAACACAUUGGCACCCUUUUUUAGCUGAACUAUAGUUGAUCGCCUCAACAGUUCAGAUCGUGAAAGCUAUUGCAAUAUUUACGCAUAGUGUCUUGUCAUUUCUCAUGAAUUUUAUCUUCAGUUGUUGACUUCUUCAAUUUUUAAGGGUGCAUGAAGUGUAUUUUUAAGCUGGUCUGGAUUACAGAGCUUGUCACUCUUGCCAAUUUAUUUUAAAAACUAUCUGCAGUUUUUUGUGAGGGGGCCAUCCAGCUUUAUUUCUCUGAUGACCCUGUCGAGCUGGCAUGCAAACUGUUGGGUGUUGAGAAGGUAAAGACUCUGCAGAAGGUGCUUACAUGGCAGGAGGAAAAGGUGUAAUGUCAGUGUUGAAAACUUGAAGGCAACAUAUUAUGCGAUUUUCAAGUGACCAAAUCUUGAUCUUUAUAUUGCUUUCAGUUGGAACACGGGUUCUAGAAUACUUUUGCGCACAUUUCUAUUAAACAAAUUAUGUUUAUUUUUUCUUCCCAGUGUAGCAACAGUUGUAUUUAUUUUACUGUUGUUGCAGUCCUACGGGUACCUAACAAGGAGUUGCAAUUACCUCUU